CCUACGGGUGGCAGCAGUGGGGAAUAUUGGGCAAUGGGCGCAAGCCUGACCCAGCAACGCCGCGUGAAGGAUGAAGGCUUUAGGGUUGUAAACUUCUUUUUUCAGAGAAGUAUAGAAAACGGUACCUGACGAAUAAUCAACGGCUAACUACGUACCAGCAGCCGCGGUAAUACGUAGGUGGCAGGCGUUGUCCGGAUUUACUGGGUUUAAAGGGCGUGUAGCCGGGUUGACAAGUCAGAUGUGAAAUCUUGCGGCUUAACCGGAGAACUGCAUUUGAAACUGGUGAUCUUGAGUACUGGAGAGGCAGACGGAAUUCGUAGUGUAGCGGUGAAAUGCGUAGAUAUUAGGAGGAACACCAGUGGCGAAGGCGGUCUGCUAGACAGCAACUGACAGUGAGGCGCGAAAGCGUGGGUAGCAAACAGGAUUAGAUACCCUAGUAGUC
rnacentral:rRNA from 1 species